rnacentral:lncRNA from 1 species
UUAGAAUCUCCAUCAUUCCUUGUUCCUAAUAUGAUUCUUGAUGGAUUUGCAAGAACCACAUUAUGAAAUUGUUGCAGAGAACGUCUAAAGUCAGAUUCACGAAUAAGGACCCCAACCAAACACUUCACUAGAAGUGUGAACCUUGGUAUAGAAAAGCUUUUGGACACCAUGUUCAAGAUUAAGGAAGAAGGUGGGUGAUAAGUCACAAAGGAAUGCCAGAAGACAAGUCUUGAU